AAGUCGUAACAAGGUUUCCGUAGGUGAACCUGCGGAAGGAUCAUUAUCGAGUUUUUGAAGUGGAUGUCCCUUUGAUGCUGGCCCCUCCAAGGGCAUGUGCUCGGGGGGCGUCCCGCUCCAAUCCACUCAACCCCCUGUGCACUUUUGAGGUGUGGUCCUCCGUUGUUGGAGCCGCUCUUGUCUGGAUUCUCUUUCGGGGGAGUUUGGGCUGUUGAGCUGGGACCAUGCCUCCCCCUUUUACAAACCUUUUAACAAGUCUUGUCGAACGUGAUCGCCCUCGUUGGCGGAAACUUAAAUACAACUUUCAACAACGGAUCUCUUGGCUCUC
rnacentral:misc_RNA from 1 species